GCAAGUCCAGUCACUCCCGCCUGAACACAUAGGGCGGGUAGAGGGAACGUGGGGAAGUGAAACAUCUCAGUACCCACAGGAAGAGAAAGCAACCGCGAUUCCGUGAGUAGUGGCGAGCGAAAGCGGAAGAGGCUAAACCUCAGUUGUGUGAUACCUGUCAGGGGUUGCAGCUGGGGGGUCGUGGGACUUUUCGGUCAGUGCUGACACGCUGGCAUGGAGUCAGAAAUGCGCGUUGUAGUCGAAGGGCAUUGAAAGGCCCGGCACAGAGGGUGCUACCCCCGUAGACGAAACGAUGCGCACUCCAGAGAAGUAUCCCAAGUAGCACGGGGCCCGAGAAAUCCCGUGUGAAUCUGGCGGGACCACCCGCUAAGCCUAAAUAUUCCCUGGUGACCGAUAGCGGACAAGUACCGUGAGGGAAAGGUGAAAAGUACCCCGGGAGGGGAGUGAAAUAGAUCCUGAAACCGUGUGCCUACAAUCCGUCGGAGCCUCCUUGUGGGGUGACGGCGUGCCUUUUGAAGAAUGAGCCUGCGAGUUAGUGCUCAGUGGCGAGGUUAACCCGUGUGGGGAAGCCGUAGCGAAAGCGAGUCCGAAUAGGGCGUUUUAGUCGCUGGGUCUAGACCCGAAGCGGAGUGAUCUACCCAUGGCCAGGUUGAAGCGACGGUAAGACGUCGUGGAGGACCGAACCCACUUAGGUUGAAAACUGAGGGGAUGAGCUGUGGGUAGGGGUGAAAGGCCAAUCAAACUCCGUGAUAGCUGGUUCUCCCCGAAAUGCAUUUAGGUGCAGCGUCACGUGUUUCUUACCGGAGGUAGAGCUACUGGAUAGCUGAUGGGCCUCACCAGGUUACUGACGUUAGCCAAACUCCGAAUGCCGGUAAGUGAGAGCGUGGCAGUGAGACUGCGGGGGAUAAGCUCCGUAGUCGAGAGGGAAACAGCCCAGACCACCAUCUAAGGUCCCUAAGCGUGUGCUAAGUGGGAAAGGAUGUGGAGUUGCAUUGACAACCAGGAGGUUGGCUUAGAAGCAGCCACCCUUUAAAGAGUGCGUAAUAGCUCACUGGUCAAGUGAUUCCGCGCCGACAAUGUAGCGGGGCUCAAGCACACCACCGAAGCUGUGGCAUUGACACACUGCUCGGCCAGUUUUCCUGCGGGGUUCUGGUCCAGGCGUGUUGAUGGGUAGGGGAGCGUCGUGUGGCCAGGGAAGCGGCGGAGUGAUCCAGCCGUGGAGGCCACACGAGUGAGAAUGCAGGCAUGAGUAGCGAAUGACGGGCGAGAAACCCGUCCGCCGAAUAACCAAGGGUUCCAGGGUCAAGCUAAUCUGCCCUGGGUAAGUCGGGACCUAAGGCGAGGCCGACAGGCGUAGUCGAUGGACAUCCGGUUGAUAUUCCGGAACCGGCGAAGAACCGCCCAUGACGAACCUAGUGAUGCUAAA
rnacentral:rRNA from 1 species